GACGAACGCUGGCGGCGUGCCUAAUACAUGCAAGUAGAACGCUGAAGGAGGAGCUUGCUUCUCUGGAUGAGUUGCGAACGGGUGAGUAACGCGUAGGUAACCUGCCUGGUAGCGGGGGAUAACUAUUGGAAACGAUAGCUAAUACCGCAUAAGAGUAGAUGUUGCAUGACAUUUACUUAAAAGGUGCAAUUGCAUCACUACCAGAUGGACCUGCGUUGUAUUAGCUAGUUGGUGGGGUAACGGCUCACCAAGGCGACGAUACAUAGCCGACCUGAGAGGGUGAUCGGCCACACUGGGACUGAGACACGGCCCAGACUCCUACGGGAGGCAGCAGUAGGGAAUCUUCGGCAAUGGACGGAAGUCUGACCGAGCAACGCCGCGUGAGUGAAGAAGGUUUUCGGAUCGUAAAGCUCUGUUGUAAGAGAAGAACGAGUGUGAGAGUGGAAAGUUCACACUG
rnacentral:rRNA from 1 species